rnacentral:rRNA from 1 species
UACGUAGGGGGCAAGCGUUGUCCGGAUUUAUUGGGCGUAAAGAGCGUGUAGGCGGCCAGGUAGGUCGGUUGUGAAAACUGGAGGCUCAACCUCCAGACGUCGACCGAAACCAUCUGGCUAGAGUCCGGAAGAGGAGAGUGGAAUUCCUGGUGUAGCGGUGAAAUGCGCAGAUAUCAGGAAGAACACCCGUGGCUAAGGCGGCUCUCUAGUACGGUACUGACGCUGAGACGCGAAAGCGUGGGGAGCGAACAGG